UACGUAGGUGACCAGCGUUGUCCGGAUUUACUGGGCGUAAAGAGCGCGCAGGCGGUCGUUCAAGUCGAGUGUGAAAGCCCCCGGCUCAACUGGGGAGGGUCACUCGAUACUGAUCGACUUGAAGGCAGGAGAGGGAAGCGGAAUUCCCGGUGUAGUGGUGAAAUGCGUAGAUAUGGGAGGAACACCAGUGGCGAAGGCGG
rnacentral:rRNA from 1 species